rnacentral:rRNA from 1 species
CACAAAAAUGCACAUGCUGUGAGCUCGAUGAGUAGGGCGGGACACGUGGUAUCCUGUCUGAAUAUGGGGGGACCAUCCUCCAAGGCUAAAUACUCCUGACUGACCGAUAGUGAACCAGUACCGUGAGGGAAAGGCGAAAAGAACCCCGGCGAGGGGAGUGAAAAAGAACCUGAAACCGUGUACGUACAAGCAGUGGGAGCACGCUUAGGCGUGUGACUGCGUACCUUUUGUAUAAUGGGUCAGCGACUUAUAUUCUGUAGCAAGGUUAACCGAAUAGGGGAGCCGAAGGGAAACCGAGUCUUAACUGGGCGUUAAGUUGCAGGGUAUAGACCCGAAACCCGGUGAUCUAGCCAUGGGCAGGUUGAAGGUUGGGUAACACUAACUGGAGGACCGAACCGACUAAUGUUGAAAAAUUAGCGGAUGACUUGUGGCUGGGGGUGAAAGGCCAAUCAAACCGGGAGAUAGCUGGUUCUCCCCGAAAGCUAUUUAGGUAGCGCCUCGUGAAUUCAUCUCCGGGGGUAGAGCACUGUUUCGGCAAGGGGGUCAUCCCGACUUACCAACCCGAUGCAAACUGCGAAUACCGGAGAAUGUUAUCACGGGAGACACACGGCGGGUGCUAACGUCCGUCGUGAAGAGGGAAACAACCCAGACCGCCAGCUAAGGUCCCAAAGUCAUGGUUAAGUGGGAAACGAUGUGGGAAGGCCCAGACAGCCAGGAUGUUGGCUUAGAAGCAGCCAUCAUUUAAAGAAAGCGUAAUAGCUCACUGGUCGAGUCGGCCUGCGCGGAAGAUGUAACGGGGCUAAACCAUGCACCGAAGCUGCGGCAGCGACACUAUGUGUUGUUGGGUAGGGGAGCGU